ACACCCGUCGUCUAGUGGUAAGGACCCCUGCCUUUCGAGCAGGUAACCGGAGUUCGAAUCUCCGUGGGUGUG
rfam:Proteus phage vB_PmiM_Pm5461, complete genome.